rfam:Pteropus alecto contig166196, whole genome shotgun sequence.
GGCUUCAUAGUGUAAUGGUUAGCUCGUCUGCUUUACAUGCAGAAGGUUCUGGGUUUGUGCCCCAGGUGGAGCCA